rnacentral:rRNA from 1 species
ACCCGCUGAACUUAAGCAUAUCAAUAAGCGGAGGAAAAGAAACCAACAGGGAUUGCCCUAGUAACGGCGAGUGAAGCGGCAACAGCUCAAAUUUGAAAUCUGGCGUCUUUGGCGUCCGAGUUGUAAUUUGCAGAGGGCGCUUUGGCAUUGGCAGCGGUCCAAGUUCCUUGGAACAGGACGUCACAGAGGGUGAGAAUCCCGUACGUGGUCGCUAGCCUUUACCGUGUAAAGCCCCUUCGACGAGUCGAGUUGUUUGGGAAUGCAGCUCUAAAUGGGAGGUAAAUUUCUUCUAAAGCUAAAUACUGGCCAGAGACCGAUAGCGCACAAGUAGAGUGAUCGAAAGAUGAAAAGCACUUUGGAAAGAGAGUUAAAAAGCACGUGAAAUUGUUGAAAGGGAAGCGCUUGCAGCCAGACUUGCCUGUAGUUGCUCAUCCGGGUUUUUACCCGGUGCACUCUUUUAUAGGCAGGCCAGCAUCAGUUUGGGCGGUUGGAUAAAGGUCUCUGUCAUGUACCUCUCUUCGGGGAGAACUUAUAGGGGAGACGACAUGCAACCAGCCCGGACUGAGGUCCGCGCAUCUGCUAGGAUGCUGGCGUAAUGGCUGU